rnacentral:rRNA from 1 species
UCGCGGCCUAUCAGCUUGUUGGUGAGGUAAUGGCUCACCAAGGCGACGACGGGUAGCCGGCCUGAGAGGGCGACCGGCCACACUGGGACUGAGACACGGCCCAGACUCCUACGGGAGGCAGCAGUGGGGAAUAUUGCACAAUGGGCGAAAGCCUGAUGCAGCGACGCCGCGUGAGGGAUGAAGGCCUUCGGGUUGUAAACCUCUUUCAGUAGGGAAGAAGCGCAAGUGACGGUACCUACAGAAGAAGCACCGGCUAACUACGUGCCAGCAGCCGCGGUGAUACGUAGGGUGCGAGCGUUGUCCGGAAUUAUUGGGCGUAAAGAGCUUGUAGGCGGUUUGUCGCGUCUGCCGUGAAAAUCCGGGGCUCAACUCCGGACUUGCGGUGGGUACGGGCAGACUAGAGUGUGGUAGGGGAGACUGGAAUUCCUGGUGUAGCGGUGAAAUGCGCAGAUAUCAGGAGGAACACCGAUGGCGAAGGCAGGUCUCUGGGCCACUACUGACGCUGAGAAGCGAAAGCGUGAGGAGCGAACAGGAUUAGAUACCCUGGUAGUCCACGCCGUAAACGUUGGGCGCUAGGUGUGGGACUCAUUCCACGAGUUCCGUGCCGCAGCUAACGCAUUAAGCGCCCCGCCUGGGGAGUACGG